rnacentral:rRNA from 1 species
GACGAACGCUGGCGGCGUGCCUAAUACAUGCAAGUAGGACGCACAGUUUAUACCGUAGCUUGCUACACCAUAGACUGUGAGUUGCGAACGGGUGAGUAACGCGUAGGUAACCUACCUAUUAGAGGGGGAUAACUAUUGGAAACGAUAGCUAAUACCGCAUAACAGUAUGUAACACAUGUUAGAUGCUUGAAAGAUGCAAUUGCAUCGCUAGUAGAUGGACCUGCGUUGUAUUAGCUAGUAGGUAGGGUAAAGGCCUACCUAGGCAACGAUACAUAGCCGACCUGAGAGGGUGAUCGGCCACACUGGGACUGAGACACGGCCCGGACUCCUACGGGAGGCAGCAGUAGGGAAUCUUCGGCAAUGGGGGGAACCCUGACCGAGCAACGCCGCGUGAGUGAAGAAGGUUUUCGGAUCGUAAAGCUCUGUUGUUAAGGAAGAACGAGUGUGAGAAUGGAAAGUUCAUGCUGUG